AUUGAACGCUGGCGGCAGGCCUAACACAUGCAAGUCGAGCGGAUGAAGGGAGCUUGCUCCUGGAUUCAGCGGCGGACGGGUGAGUAAUGCCUAGGAAUCUGCCUGGUAGUGGGGGAUAACGUCCGGAAACGGGCGCUAAUACCGCAUACGUCCUGAGGGAGAAAGUGGGUGAUCUUCGGACCUCACGCUAUCAGAUGAGCCUAGGUCGGAUUAGCUAGUUGGUGGGGUAAAGGCCUACUAAGGCGACGAUCCGUAACUGGUCUGAGUGGAUGAUCAGUCACACUGGAAGUGAGACACGGUCCAUGCUACUGCGGGAGGCAGCAGUGGGGAAUAUGGGGCAGUGGGCGGGAACCUGAUACAGCGAGGCCACGUGUGAGGAGAAGGUCUUCGGAUUGUAAAGCACUUUAAGUUGGGGGGAAGGGCAGUAAGUUAAUACCAUGCUGUUUUGACGGUACCAGCAAAAUAAGCACCGGCUAACUUCGUG
rnacentral:rRNA from 1 species